AGCGUGUGAUGAUAAUUUUCCACAAACAUUCGCAGUUUUCACGGAUCGACAUAAGAACCCAAUCUUGUCGGAUAUGACGGCCCAGUCCUUCCUUUGGAUGUCUGAUGCU
rnacentral:snoRNA from 1 species